UACGUAGGGCGCAAGCGUUAUCCGGAAUUAUUGGGCGUAAAGAGCUCGUAGGCGGUUUGUCGCGUCUGCCGUGAAAGUCCGGGGCUCAACUCCGGAUCUGCGGUGGGUACGGGCAGACUAGAGUGAUGUAGGGGAGACUGGAAUUCCCGGUGUAGCGGUGAAAUGCGCAGAUAGUCGGGAGGAACACCAGCGGCGAAGGCGGCACUCUGGGCUGGAACUGACGCUGAGGAGCGAAAGCGUGGGUAGCAAACAGG
rnacentral:rRNA from 1 species